CCGCCGCGGUAAUACGUAGGUGGCAAGCGUUGUCCGGAAUUAUUGGGCGUAAAGGGCUCGCAGGCGGUUUCUUAAGUCUGAUGUGAAAGCCCCCGGCUCAACCGGGGAGGGUCAUUGGAAACUGGGAAACUUGAGUGCAGAAGAGGAGAGUGGAAUUCCACGUGUAGCGGUGAAAUGCGUAGAGAUGUGGAGGAACACCAGUGGCGAAGGCGACUCUCUGGUCUGUAACUGACGCUGAGGAGCGAGAGCGUGGGGAGCGAACAGGAUUAGAUACCCGGGUAGUCCCUGUCUCUUAUACACA
rnacentral:rRNA from 1 species